GACGAACGCUGGCGGCGUGCUUAACACAUGCAAGUCGAACGGAAAGGCCCUGCUUGCGGGGUACUCGAGUGGCGAACGGGUGAGUAACACGUGGGUGAUCUGCCCUGCACUUCGGGAUAAGCUUGGGAAACUGGGUCUAAUACCGGAUAGGAGCCAUCUUUAGUGUGGUGGUUGGAAAGUUUUUUCGGUGUAGGAUGAGCUCGCGGCCUAUCAGCUUGUUGGUGGGGUAAUGGCCUACCAAGGCGGCGACGGGUAGCCGGCCUGAGAGGGUGUCCGGCCACAUUGGGACUGAGAUACGGCCCAGACUCCUACGGGAGGCAGCAGUGGGGAAUAUUGCACAAUGGGCGCAAGCCUGAUGCAGCGACGCCGCGUGGGGGAUGAAGGCCUUCGGGUUGUAAACUCCUUUCGCUAGGGACGAAGCUUUGUUGUGACGGUACCUAGAUAAGAAGCACCGGCUAACUACGUG
rnacentral:rRNA from 1 species